UGGGGAAUAUUGGACAAUGGGGGCAACCCUGAUCCAGCGAUGCCGCGUGUGUGAAGAAGGCCUGCGGGUUGUAAAGCACUUUUGUUUAGGAAGAGAUUCCGCAGAUGAAUAGUCUGUGGAUGAGACAUUACUAAAAGAAAAAGCACCGGCUAACUCUGUGCCAGCAGCCGCGGUAAUACAGAGGGUGCGAGCGUUAAUCGGAGUUACUGGGCGUAAAGGGCGCGUAGGCGGAGAUAUAAGUCAGAUGUGAAAUACCCGAGCUUAACUUGGGGGAGUCGUCUGAUACUGUAUUUCUAGAGUAUUGGAGAGGGAAGUGGAAUUUCCGGUGUAGCGGUGAAAUGCGUAGAUAUCGGAAGGAACACCCGUGGCGAAGGCGACUUCCUGGCCAAAUACUGACGCUGAGGCGCGAAAGCGUGGGGAGCAAACAGG
rnacentral:rRNA from 1 species